rnacentral:tRNA from 1 species
GGGCGCUUAGCUCAGUUGGCUAGAGCGUCGCUUUUACACAGCGAAUGUCACAGGUUCGAGUCCUGUAGCGCCCA